rnacentral:rRNA from 1 species
CUCAGACAGCCAGGAUGUUGGCUUAGAAGCAGCCAUCAUUUAAAGAAAGCGUAAUAGCUCACUGGUCGAGUCGGCCUGCGCGGAAGAUGUAACGGGGCUAAACUAUGCACCGAAGCUGCGGCAGCGAUAUGUAAAUAUUGUUGGGUAGGGGAGCGUUCUGUAAGCCUGUGAAGGUGUACUGUGAGGUAUGCUGGAGGUAUCAGAAGUGCGAAUGCUGACAUAAGUAACGAUAAUGCGGGUGAAAAACCCGCACGCCGGAAGACCAAGGGUUCCUGUCCAACGUUAAUCGGGGCAGGGUGAGUCGACCCCUAAGGCGAGGCAGAAAUGCGUAGUCGAUGGGAAACGGGUUAAUAUUCCCGUACUGGUGAUAAUUGCGAUGGGGGGACGGAGAAGGCUAGGCUAUCCGGGCGACGGUUGUCCCGGUUUAAGGAUGUAGGCAGGUGAAUUAGGCAAAUCCGGUUCACUAUAUGCUGAGGUCCGAUGACGAGUCACUACGGUGAUGAAGUAGCUCAUGCCCCGCUUCCAGGAAAAGCCUCUAAGCUCUAGAUUAUCAUUAAUCGUACCCCAAACCGACACAGGUGGUCAGGUAGAGAAUACUCAGGCGCUUGAGAGAACUCGGGUGAAGGAACUAGGCAAAAUGGUGCCGUAACUUCGGGAGAAGGCACGCUGGCGCUAGGUGAAGUCCCU